AGAACUGAUCGCUAGAAGUAGAGGAAAGUCCGUGCUAUCACUAGCUGCGAUGCUAGUAGUGAGUGUGCUAGAGCUAAGAACUCUAGGGUAAAAACGACAGCUGAAGCCUAAGUCGCAAGAUAUGGUGUAAAAGUACUAAAGUGCCACAGAAACGAUGCUUGAGAGAAAUCUCAUGGUGAAAAGGGGUAAACUCCGCACGAUAGAAACCCAAAUUUGGUAGGGGAGUCAGGCUAAGGGAAUUGAACUAAGGCCUGGUAGGUAACUAAGAUAAAUGAUUGGUUGAAAAACAGAACACGGCUUACAAGA
rnacentral:RNase_P_RNA from 2 species